UAUUUUAUUUGAAAAAAAAUUUAAUUGACAGAGUAAUUUUGAAAAUAUGCUUUAAUUUAUGUAUUUAAAUUAGUAUGUUGAUUUUUUUUAGUAAAGUCAAUAUGGGAAUAAAAAUAAAUAAUUAUAUGAUGAGUUAAAAAUAAUUGGUCGUGAUUAAAAAUACGUUUAUUUUAGUUUGCAUAGCUUUAACUAUCAAGUUUACGGAAAAUGUCAAUGAUAUCUUUGUUGUUGGAAAUUUAAAGAGCUACAAAAAAGUAUUGAUUACUUUUUUUGAUAAUUUCAAUAUUUAAGCCGUAAUUUAACAUCUUAACACCAAGUACAUUUGUUAUCCCUCAUUACCGAGAGCAAGUCAAGCAAACUGCAUACUCCCCGAAAAUGAAAUAUCACCAGCAGUGAAUAUGAAAAAAAAAAAGAAGAUUGCAAAUUAGCUGAAGAACGAGAUCAAGGACACGACUUUAUUGGUUGCAAGGUCCUGGGUACAAUUCCGGCCCAAUUCCCCAGUCGUACGUGCGAUGAAAAAUAAUAAAGAUUUAAAUCUCCAGCGUGCUCUUACACAUACAUAUUAUGUGUGAAAGAUCAUCGAGUUUGUUGCGUAAAAAUAUUUAUACAGCUAAAUAUUUAAAUGAAAACCCAUCCGGACAUAUAUCACCAUCAUCUGAUGCAACUCUAUUUUCAUUUAAAUCAAUAACAUCUCGACAUAUUCAUCAACAUCAACAUCAUCAUUAUAAAUAAU